CGCUGCUCUUUUCCAGGCGGGUAAGCCCUAACAGGAGGAAUCUAAGAAAGAGUACCGGCUGGCUGUCCUUCCCAGCGCUUGAAGCCCUGCCAUGCUCGUCCUCCGAAGCAGCCUGACUAGGGCUCUGGCUGUGCGGAAGCUUGCACCUCAGGUGUGCUCAUCUUUUGCUACAGGCCCCAGACAAUACGAUGGAACACUCUAUGAAUUUCAUACCUAUUAUCUUAAGCCCUCAAAGAUGAAUGAGUUCCUGGAAAAUACUAAGAAAAACAUUCAUCUUCGAACAGCUCACUCUGAAUUGGUUGGAUACUGGAGUGUAGAAUUUGGAGGCAGAAUGAAUAAAGUGUUUCAUAUUUGGAAGUAUGAUAAUUUUGCUCAUCGAACUGAAGUUCGGAAAGCAUUGGCCAAAGAUAAGGAAUGGCAAGAACAGUACCUCAUUCCAAAUUUGGCUCUUAUUGAUAAACAGGAGAGUGAGAUUACUUAUCUGGUACCAUGGUGCAAACUAGAAAAGGCUCCAAAAGAAGUUCAUGUUCUUUGGUGGAAUGAGAGUGCACAGUCGUGCCGCUGGGAGACAUCAGUCUCAUGAGGAUCCCAGGGUUGUGGCAGCUGUUCGGGAAAGUGUUAACUUCCUUGAGUCUCAGAAGAAUAUGCUUCUGAUUCCUAUGUCAUUUUCACCAUUGAAAUAGUUUUCCAUUGAAAUACAAAGCAUUGCAUUAACUGCUAUAAGAUGUGUCUGCUAAUGGUACUUAAACUCUCCCAAGAGAUUCUCAUUUUUAUAUGAAGGAGGUGGUAAGUUAAUUUGCUAUGUCCUUUGCAUUUUUAAAAGCUGCCUCUGUCCAUUGUCACCACCACGAGGAAAUAGUUCUGUUCAUUUUCCCUUUGGCAUUUCAGUAUUUGUCAUACAUUAAAAAUUGUUGUCAUUCCUA